CAGCAGAAAGCGUCUCCAGAAAAAACCCAAAACAUAUGUCUCCCUUCAAAAGAAAAAUCUGCUUUUUCACAGCUACAAAGGAUUGAAAACAAAUUUUGUCAUCAAAUGUGGAGCUGUGCCAAAUCACAGGCAGCCAGAAGAAAGCUUUGGCACGAAAAGAGCUUUGAUGGCGAGAGGAAGAAAGAUGAAACAGCUUUGAGUGAGAGAAAGAGCAACGAGAUUGUUCCAGCCCAAAGAGAGAGAAGCUCUGCUGUUCCCUCCCCUGCUCACUCACAGACCUGCUUGCCUGGGAGCCCUGCUGUGAUCUCUGGUCCAUCCAGAAUGUCCCCUCUGUCCCCCAGGGCAGCCUCGGGACGCUGCAGGAAUUGGGCAGCGCAUGGAAAAGGCUCAGCUGGGACAUGGGUGCCUGCAAAGAGCCUGCACAGCCCAAGAAGGGACAAUUUCAGGGAGCUGGGAGGUUCAAGAGGAUUCCCAGCACAGAAGGAGGAAUCUCCCUGCUGCCUGCACGGCCCACCUUGCUGCCCUGCAGGGAGCAGCCCCUGCUCUGUCACUCCUGUGCCCAUGGCUCUCCUGCUUCCCACAUCCCUCCUGGCAGCAGCCAGCAAGGCCAGAGACCAGAGGCUGGAAGGGCUGUGGGGAAAAUCACCCCAAAAUAAAUUAGAGCAACUCAAGAAGAGGAUCCAGGAGCAGAAGAGAAAGCAGCAAACAGCACCCCGGGAGGAGGAGCGCCUGAUUUUUGUUAAAGACCCCCUGCCAAAGAGAGCCCUGAAAAGAAAGGUUUGCAGAGUGGCCUC